ensembl:rRNA 5S_rRNA 5S ribosomal RNA
UAUGGUCAUACCACCCUGAAUGCACCUGAUCUCAUUUGAUCUUUGAAGCUAAGCAGGGUUGUGCCUGGUUAGUACUUGGAUGGGAGUAUACGAGAGGAUGUGUAUAAGUUAUAU